rnacentral:lncRNA from 1 species
CUGUUAGUGACACGGACAGCCGCCGCCGAGCAGUCUUUGGCUAACGAGUUGACGAUCCAAAGGCCUGACUCCACAGCGAUAGUGAGCCUCCUCUACCAUCAAGGAAACUUUAUCUUGCACUACACCUUCACUGACAACGUUCACUACCAACACCUUUGCUUCGCCACCGCCUCAAGAUUGGGAAAGGCACUGCUUUGCAUCGCGCCCACACACACAGUAUACUCUAACGCCGCCGCUCAGAUGAUGGCUAGGUGGGUGAUAGAGGCAGGUGGUGUGGAGGCGGCCUGGCGACGAGAAACCGCAGAUGACGGCAGACACGGAAGAUUAAACUAACCAGAUGGGAGGAUCCAAAGGUCUGAUUGCAGCGAUCCUGCAUCAUCACGGAGGGACACUUGGCUUUGCACGACGCCUUCACUAACCCUCCCUCCAUCACCCAACCAACACCGCCGCCGCUACUGCCACUCGGGGGGAGAGGCUGCCUCGCUUGGGGCCUUCAUUUCCGUCCCGCUAACGCAUGCCGCCGCCGCCACUCCUGCCAUUAAGGGAUUCCGCCUCGCAGCGGCCCAGCAAACACCUGCUACCGCCGCCGCCGCCGCCGCCGCAGCAGCAGCAGCAAGAAAGAUUCUGCAUGGCACCUUGACCCUGCGUGGCCAUCACGUACUGGUACUCUGGUGGUGGUGGUCGUGUCCAGGGAGGGAAUAGUUGUGGUUGGCGUGGGAGUCUUCCCUCAGUGUGGAUGGUGUAUGUACUUAGACAGCUGUGGUGUUGUGGUGCCCUUACUCCAUUGUAAUAAACUGUCUUCACUGCCUCAUUGUGUCUUCACUGUACUAAUAAGAGCUGUUGUCACUAUUGAAUAAUAAAUUAUGAAAGAAAU